rnacentral:rRNA from 1 species
GGGGAAUAUUGGACAAUGGGCGAAAGCCUGAUCCAGCAAUGCCGCGUGAGUGAUGAAGGCCUUAGGGUUGUAAAGCUCUUUUACCAGGGAUGAUAAUGACAGUACCUGGAGAAUAAGCUCCGGCUAACUCCGUGCCAGCAGCCGCGGUAAUACGGAGGGAGCUAGCGUUGUUCGGAAUUACUGGGCGUAAAGCGCACGUAGGCGGCGAUUCAAGUCAGAGGUGAAAGCCCGGAGCUCAACUCCGGAACUGCCUUUAAGACUGCAUCGCUAGAAUCAUGGAGAGGUUAGUGGAAUUCCGAGUGUAGAGGUGAAAUUCGUAGAUAUUCGGAAGAACACCAGUGGCGAAGGCGACUAACUGGACAUGUAUUGACGCUGAGGUGCGAAAGCGUGGGGAGCAAA